ACGCAGGUUCCCGCAACUGACACGAACCGUGCGACUUGAAGCUCCGCCUGGUCUUUCCAGGUCUAGAGGGGUAACAUUUUGUACUGUGUUUGACUCCACGCUUGGUCCACUAGCGAGUGUUAGUAACAGCACUGUUGCUUCGUCGCGGAGCAUGAUGGCUGUGGGAACUCCCCCUUGGUAACAAGGACCCACGGGGCCGAAAGCCACGUCCUCACGGACCCAUCAUGUGUGCAACCCCAGCACAGCAACUUUACUGUGAAAGCCACUUUAAGGUGUCACUGAUACUGGUACUCAACCACUGGUGACAGGCUAAGGAUGCCCUUCAGGUACCCCGAGGUAACAUGCGACACUCGGGAUCUGAGAAGGGGGCUGAGGCUUCUUUAAAAGUGCUCAGCUUAAAAAGCUUCUAUGCCUGAAUAGGCGACCGGAGGCCGGCGCCUUUCCACUUACCAAUACUGUUUU
rnacentral:other from 1 species